AGGCUGAAGUCGUUCACAAAGCGACGCCGAAGCAGACAAGGAAGCGGAAGACACUCGCUAAUGACCUGACUAACGGCGGCGUGGAGCCAUGUGUGGAGAAGGGUCUGCAGCUGGACCUACUUGCAUGCGUGGACAGAUGCGUGGACCGUGUUGUGAAGCUUGAUCAUGAUAGAGCUGAAAGGAAAAACAUGCAGAGCAUGUAUCAGAACAUAUAUUGGGGAUGACAUGCAGUGAUACAGGCUUGGUUGUGUUAAUCAUUGCACAUUAAUCCAACAAAAUGAGACCGCUGUGACCUUCAGCCUGUGACGAGUAACCUGAAGUUGAGCAGCUGGUGAUGUGUGGAAAAACUGUGAACUCCUUCGCCCAUGCUCCUUCAUAUAAAGACACUCCCUGCCAGAGGAUGAUGGAAGUUGUGGAUGAGAAUGUUUCUCACCUUUUGUAUAACUGCAAUUGAAUUGUAUUGGUGUAACUGGAAGAUUCAGAAGCAUUGAAGAAUUUUCCAAAAACAAAGACUUUUACUUUAAAUUAAACACACGUUAAAAUAAAUAACUUGAUUGCA